rnacentral:rRNA from 1 species
GAUAAACGCUGGCGGCGUGCCUAACACAUGCAAGUCGAACGUCCUCUGAGCAAUCAGAGGGAGUGGCGGACGGGUGAGUAGCACAUGGGAACCCACCCUCGCGUGAGGAAUACCACCGGGAAACCGGUGACAAGACCGCAUACGCUCGUGGACGCGAGCAAAGCUCUUCUUUUGGAAGGGCGCACGAGGACGGGCCUGUGCCUGAUUAGCUAGCUGGUGGGGUAAAAGCCUACCAGGGCGACGAUCAGUAGCUGGUCUGAGAGGAUGAUCAGCCACA